rfam:Clostridium thermocellum ATCC 27405, complete genome.
AUGUUAAUAGAGGAAAUGCCAUAGACAGCAGGUUGCUUUCCCACAAAAGCGGAAAGUGUAAAAGUGUUUGCAAACUUCCCUGCCGAGGUAAUGUGAUUUAGCAGUCGGAUAAUGACAAUUACCCCUUUAUGUCUAUGUGCAUUGAGGGGUUUUAUUAUUUCAGU